rnacentral:rRNA from 1 species
GACGAACCGUGCGAACGUUGUUCGGAUUCACUGGGCUUAAAGGGCGCGUAGGCGGGCGGUCAAGUCUGGGGUGAAAUCUUCCGGCCCAACCGGAACAUGGCCCGGGAUACUGGCCGCCUCGAGGGGGGUAGGGGCAUGCGGAACUUCCGGUGGAGCGGUGAAAUGCGUAGAUAUCGGAAGGAACGCCGGCGGCGAAAGCGGCGUGCUGGACCCCCCCUGACGCUGAGGCGCGAAAGCCAGGGGAGCAAACGGG